rnacentral:misc_RNA from 1 species
UGGAAGUAAUAGUCGUAACAAGGUUUCCGUAGGUGAACCUGCGGAAGGAUCAUUAAUAGUGCCCUCUGAUGCAAGUCAUUGGGUUAGAUCUGCUCUCCUCGCAAGAGGAGGGUUUCCAUACACACCGUGAACUGUGGCUUCGGCCAUCACAAACUGUUAGUAAUGAAUGUAAAAUCAUAACAAAAACAAAACUUUUAACAACGGAUCUCUUGGCUCUCGCAUCGAUGAAGAACGCAGCGAAAUGCGAUAAGUAAUGUGAAUUGCAGAAUUCAGUGAAUCAUCGAAUCUUUGAACGCACCUUGCGCCCUUUGGUAUUCCGAAGGGCAUGCCUGUUUGAGUGUCAUGAAACCUCACCCCACUUGGGUUUUUGCCUGAGCGGUGGUGUAUUGGGUGUUGCCUUGCUAAAGGCUCGCCUUAAAGACAUAAGCACCUUGGAUGUAAUACGUUUCAUCCUUCUGGGUGGCUGAUAACCCCACAUAUUCAUGAUCUGGCCUCAAAUCAGGUAGGG